CUACCAUUACCAGAACCACCGCCUCCUUCACAACCACAUCAACCACGCCCCUCUUCUGCAGCAGCGCCGUAGUCCGCAUCUGCGCCGUGUUCACCGCUCGAUGGUGCCGUUGUUUCGGUGCCAAACAGACAAUCUUCUGCAGGCUCCCUUCGAUACCGACGGUGUUUCGAUUUGGGUUUAUUCAAUUUGGGUUUAUUCAAUUUUUGUGGGUAUUUGUUGUUUUUGUGAUAGAUGCUAAGCAAGCGCAAGGGUUCCUCUCAUUCUUCAAAACCCUACCCCGUGACCCUAGGGCUGUUCGAUUCUUUGAUCGCCGGUCAUAACACUCGAAUCUGUACGAAGGUAUGAUGAGCUUUGGAUGCCAUUGAUUUCUGAUCUUACGGUUGGAUCAACAUCAACUCAUCAUCCCCCAAUGGGUCUGGUUUUGUCACACCUUCAAUCCG